GGGGUUGUGGCUUAGCGGUAGAGCACUCACCUAGCACAUGUGAGGCCCUGGGUUCAAUCCUCAGCACCACA
rnacentral:tRNA from 1 species